AGCUUAGAAACCUAGAAUUCCCAAUCUUAACAAUUUUGUCCUCUGCCAAACCAUUUUAGAAUUUCUGACUGGAGGACUCUACACAGAGUAAAGUAGCAAAGUGGGAAGCUGAAGUACAAUCUUAUUUUCUUAAUUUUUAUUUUCUAAAUGUUGAAAUACAAUCUUAUUAAUGGCACCCCAUAAUCAUCAGUGCAAAUUCUAGAGACCUGGCCACAGGGUGCAGACAAAGAAGUCUACACUGGAAUUUCCCAUUUCCUUCCUUAUGAUUGAAGAAGUACCUGGCUUAAUGUCCCUCCUUAUUUCAUCUGCAGCUAUGAUAAAACAGAGAAAUAUUUGGCCAGACUCAUGUCAAAGGGACAUGCCUUAUCAGAAUCCUUAGCAGGACUUAGAGAGAGGUGUGUUUAAGAGCUAUGUUUCAGCCUGACCCAGUGUUCUUAUCAUCUGCAAGCACAGGAUAAGUAGUUUUGCUGGGGCUUUGAUAUUUAAGGAUCAGUAGCCACACCUGGGAGUAAAAAGAACUACCAGGACGUCACGAAAUGUGACAAUUCAGAUUUAGAAACCUCUCUGCCUUUAUAUCGCUGUUUCUGUGUAUAUAGGAAGAGCUGGCCAGGAGGGGAGGGUGGAAACACUGAGAAUCAAACGCAUAGGAAAAGGAAACCAUGUAUCACCCCAUUAAACAAAUAAAUGCAAAUAAUUAAGAAGGGUAUCAUAAUCAUAAUUAACUCACUAAAUUGGAGGUUGAGUUUGCCACAUCUGACUCUUCAUGUCUAUAAUUAAUUUAUAAUAUUCUCACUCUGUAUUUACAUAUAAUUAAAAGCUUAAAAGCUUAUUUUGGGGUGUUAAUAUUUAUUAAAAUAUAACAUUUAAGUCCUACAUUCCCCUUUUUUGUUUAGUUUAGCUUCAGCAGAUCUAUUAUGGUAUAAUUGAAACCCAAUAAUCUAAUACUUUUUAAAUGUACAAAUUUACAUUUAGAUAUACAUACACAUCCUUGAAAUUGUUAUCACAACCAAGACAGUGCAGAUUUUAGAGACCUGGCCACAUGCUGUAGGCAAAGAGCUCUACAGUGGAAUCUCUCAUUCCCUUCCUUGUGAUUAAAAUAGUAGCCGGCUUAAUGACCCUCCUCAUUUCAUCUGCAGUUAUGAUGAAACAGAAUGAUAUUCAGCCAGAUCUAUAUCAAAGGGGCAUGCCCUAUCGGAAUCCCUAGCAGGACUUAAAGAGAAGUGUAUUUAAGCCUGCCUCUGUGUGCUUAUCACCUUUAAUGAACAUAUCCAUUACUCAUUGUGAAAGUUUCUUGUCUUGCCUUGGUAAUCUCUCUCUCAAGCCCCUCCUCCCAACCCCCAUGCCAUCGCUCAUUUGUUUUCUGUACUAUAGAUUAAUUUACAUUUUCUAUAACUUAAAUUAACAUAGUCAUAAAAAUUCUCAUUUUCCUCUCCUCUUUCAUUCAGUAUAAUUAUUUUAAGAUUUAUCAAUGCUAUUUUUUAAUAGUUCAUUACUUUUGUUGUGGGUAGUUGUGAAACUUAGUUUUCUGGGUCAACAUAACUUGGUCAUAGGAUGGUCAGAUAUCUGGUUAAAAAUUGUUUCUGAGGGUGGUCGUGAGAAUGUUUCCAAAAGAUAUUAGCAAUUAAAUGGGUGGGCUGAGUAAAGCAGAUGGUUCUCACUCAUUAGAGUGGGCUUCAUUCGAUUUGUUGAGAGCCGAACUAGAACCAAAAGGUGGAAGAAAGUUGAAUGAGCUGUGCCUGACCAUUGAGCUGGGGCAUUGAUCUUCCACUGUACUUGGUGCUUAUGGAUCUCAGACCUGCAAAUUGAGACUAGAAUUUACACCAUCAGGUUUCUAAUUGUCAGGCCUUUGAACUGUAUUACCAGUUUUCCUCAAUCUCCAGCAUGAGAAAGACAAAUCAUGGGACUUCUCAGUCUCUUUAAUCUCAUAGCCAAUACCUAAUAGAUCUCUUUAUAUGUAUGUCUUCUUGGU
rnacentral:lncRNA from 10 species